rnacentral:rRNA from 1 species
UGGGGAAUAUUCCGCAAUGGACGAAAGUCUGACGGAGCAAUGCCGCGUGAGUGAUGAAGGCCUUUGGGUCGUAAAACUCUGUCUUUGGGGAUGAAACCAUUAUGUGUUAAUACCACAUAGUAUUGACAGUACCCGAGGAGGAAGCCCCGGCUAACUACGUGCCAGCAGCCGCGGUAAUACGUAGGGGGCGAGCGUUAUUCGGAAUUACUGGGUGUAAAGGGUAUGUAGGCGGCCCUUCAAGUCGCGUGUCAAAGUCCAGUGCUCAACGCUGGGUGUGCACGCGAUACUGACGGGCUUGAGGGCUGGAGAGGUGAGCGGAAUUCCCGGUGUAGUGGUAAAAUACGUAGAGAUCGGGAGGAACACCAGCGGCGCAGGCGGCUCACUAGACAGUUUCUGACGCUAAGAUACGAAAGCGUGGGGAGCAAACA